rnacentral:rRNA from 1 species
UACGGGGGGAGCAAGCGUUGUUCGGAUUUACUGGGCGUAAAGGGCGCGUAGGCGGCCACCGCAAGUCGACUGUGAAAUCUCCGGGCUUAACCCGGAAAGGUCAGCCGAUACUGCGGGGCUAGAGUGCAGAAGGGGCAACUGGAAUUCUCGGUGUAGCGGUGAAAUGCGUAGAUAUCGAGAGGAACACCUGCGGCGAAGGCGGGUUGCUGGGCCGAAACUGACACUGAGAGACGAAAGCUAGGGGAGCGAAUGGG